rnacentral:rRNA from 1 species
AGGGCGCACAGUGGAUGCCUAGGCACUAGAAGGCGAAGAAGGACGCAACUAACGGCGAAACGCUACGGGUAGCAGUAAGUAAGCAAUGAUCCGUAGAUAUCCGAAUGAGGCAACUCACCAUGAAGAAGACAUGGUAUACCGAAAGGUAGGCAAGACCCAGCGAAUUGAAAUAUCUUAGUAGCUGGAGGAAAAGAAAGCAAAAGCGAUUUUCUCAGUAGCGACGAGCGAAAGGGAAGGAACCCAAAUUCACGGCAUAUGAAAUUUUUGAUAAAUGAACCACUCUGGGAAGGUGGACCGAAGAAGGUGAAAGUCCUGUAAUUGAAAUCAAGAAUGGAAUUAGUGAGAAAGAGUACGGCGAGACACGAGAAAUCUUGUCGGAAGAAGCGAGGACCAUCUCGUAAGGUUAAAUACUAGCUAGUGACCGAUAGCGAACCAGUACCGUGAGGGAAAGGUGAAAAGAACCCCGGGAGGGGAGUGAAAGAGAACCUGAAACUGUGUGCUUACAAGUAGUCAGAGGACGUUAAAGUCUGAUGGCGUGCCUUUUGUAGAAUGAACCGGCGAGUUACGGUAUUUAGCAAGGUUAAGUCUAAAGGGACGGAGCCGAAGCGAAAGCGAGUCUUAAUAGGGCGGUAAGUUGAAUGCUGUAGACCCGAAACCCGGCGAGCUAGCCAUGAGCAGGUUGAAGUUUGAGUAAAAUCAAAUGGAGGACCGAACUAGGGCCUGUUGAAAAAGGCUUGGAUGACUUGUGGCUAGGGGUGAAAUUCCAAUCGAGCUGGGAUAUAGCUGGUUCUCCCCGAAAUAACUUUAGGGCUAGCGUUAAACAAGAGUUUUAUGAAGGUAGAGCACUGAAUAGUAGAUGGUCCCACCUCGGGAUACUGACAUUAAUCAAACUCCGAAUGUCAUAAAACGCGUUUAGCAGUCAGACUGCGAGUGAUAAGGUCCGUGGUCAAAAGGAAAAGAGUCCAGACCGCCAAAUAAGGUCCCAAAAUAUAUGCUAAGUGGAGAAGGAUGUAGAGAUGCCUAAACAACUAGGAUGUUGGCUUAGAAGCAGCCAUCAUUUAAAGAGUGCGUAAUAGCUCACUAGUCGAGUGACUCCGCGCCGAAAAUGUACCGGGGCUAAGCAUAUUACCGAAUUUGCGGAUUCGAUACGAAAGUAUUGAGUGGUAGGGGAGCGUUCCAUAUUGGGAAGAAGCAAGAUCGAGAGGACUUGUGGACUAUAUGGAAGUGAGAAUGCCGGUGUGAGUAACGAAAAGACAGGUGAGAAUCCUGUCCGUCAAAAACCCAAGGUUUCCAGGGGAAGGGUCGUCCGCCCUGGGUAAGUCUGGGCCUAAGGUGAGGCCGAGAGGCGUAGCUGAUGGAUAUCUGGUGUAUAUUCCAGAACUAGUAUAAUGACUGAUGGAGUGACGAAGAAGGCUAGGAUCCGAUUCUUAGUGGAUUGAAUACGAGAUAUCAAGAUGGGAUGUAGGCAAAUCCGCAUCUAGAAAUCAAGAUAUGACAGGUAAAGGAUAACGAAGUCAAGCUUCCAAGAAAAGCUUCUAGGGUUAAUCAUUAUACUACCAGUACCGUAAACCGACACAGGUGGGUGAGGAGAGAAUUCUAAGACGCGCGAGAAAACCCUUGUUAAGGAACUCUGCAAGUUGGCCCCGUAAGUUCGCAAUAAGGGGAGCUCAUGUAAAAGUGAGCCACAGAAAAGAAGCCCAAGCAACUGUUUAACAAAAACACAGGUUUAUGCAAAACCGUAAGGUGAAGUAUAUGAGCUGACACCUGCCCGGUGCUGGAAGGUUAAAAGGAGAGGUUAGAGCAAUCGAAGCCUUGAAUUGAAGCCCCAGUAAACGGCGGCCGUAACUAUAACGGUCCUAAGGUAGCGAAAUUCCUUGUCAGGUAAGUUCUGACCCGCACGAAAGGUGUAAUGUCUUUGGGCACUGUCUCAACAGGGGACUCGGUGAAAUCAAACUGCCGGUGAAAAUGCCGGCUACCCGCGAUUAGACGGAAAGACCCCAUGGAGCUUUACUGUAGGUUGAUAUUGAUAUUUGGUAUGUAAUGUACAGGAUAGGUGGGAGACUAUGAAGCUAGGACGUUAGUCUUGGUGGAGUCGACGUUGGGAUACCACCCUUUGCCUAUCGAGUAUCUAACUAGUGUAAGUGGAUUACAAAGGACAGUGUCAG